ensembl:ncRNA B0403.10 ncRNA
UUGUUUCCGAUAUCUUUUCUCUACGCAAAAUUUGAUGGAAUAAUUUAUGGGGCAUCAAAUCGGGAGAGCAUCGUAGUGAACUCGGCAUCAUUGUAGAGACAGAGUUAGAGACAGAGAGAUGCAAAAGUGGAAUGGAACAUCUCGUUUCACAUAGAUAUUCUCCUUUUUUUGUAUACAUGUAGUUCCUUUUUUGU